rnacentral:rRNA from 1 species
AUCAUGGCUCAGGAUGAACGCUAGCUACAGGCUUAACACAUGCAAGUCGAGGGGCAGCAUGACCUAGCAAUAGGUUGAUGGCGACCGGCGCACGGGUGAGUAACACGUAUCCAACCUACCGGUUAUUCCGGGAUAGCCUUUCGAAAGAAAGAUUAAUACCGGAUAGUAUAACGGGAAGGCAUCUUUUUGUUAUUAAAGAAUUUCGAUAACCGAUGGGGAUGCGUUCCAUUAGAUAAUAGGCGGGGUAACGGCCC